rnacentral:rRNA from 1 species
UAUAAGUAUAAACGAUUCUAUCGUGAAACCGCGAACGGCUCAUUAUAACAGCUAUAAUUUACUUGAUCUUGACAAUCCUACUUGGAUAACUGUGGUAAUUCUAGAGCUAAUACAUGCCCCAAAGCCCUGACCUCACGGAAAGGGUGCAUUUAUUAGAACAAAACCAAGCGAUUUCGGUCGUUUUUUGUUGACUCAGAAUAACUAAGCUGAUCGUACGGUCUUGUACCGGCGACGUGUCUUUCAAGUAUCUGCCUUAUCAACUUUCGAUGGUAGUGUAUCUGACUACCAUGGUGGUGACGGGUAACGGAGGAUAAGGGUUCGACUCCGGAGAAGGGGCCUGAGAAAUGGCCACUACGUCUAAGGAUGGCAGCAGGCGCGCAAAUUACCCACUCUCAGAACGAGGAGGUAGUGACGAAAAAUAACGAGACCGUUCUCUAUGAGGCCGGUCAUCGGAAUGGGUA